AACGAACGCUGGCGGCAGGCUUAACACAUGCAAGUCGAGCGCCCCGCAAGGGGAGCGGCAGACGGGUGCGUAACGCGUGGGAACGUACCUUUUGGUUCGGAACAACUCCGGGAAACUGGAGCUAAUACCGGAUAAGCCCUAACGUGGAAAGAUUUAUCGCCGAAAGAUCGGCCCGCGUCUGAUUAGCUAGUUGGUGAGGUAACGGCUCACCAAGGCGACGAUCAGUAGCUGGUCUGAGAGGAUGAUCAGCCACACUGGGACUGAGACACGGCCCAGACUCCUACGGGAGGCAGCAGUGGGGAAUAUUGGACAAUGGGCGCAAGCCUGAUCCAGCCAUGCCGCGUGAGUGAUGAAGGCCUUAGGGUUGUAAAGCUCUUUUGUCCGGGAAGAUAAUGACUGUACCGGAAGAAUAAGCCCCGGCUAACUUCGUG
rnacentral:rRNA from 1 species